rnacentral:lncRNA from 1 species
UCCCGCCCCGGGUCACCUUGAUCGGCCAAUUCAAAUUUCCUCCAAAUACCACGCGGGAGGCGGCAGCAACCGAAACUCUAAACUGCCUCCGGUCCCUACCAGCAGGCGGGGGUUUCUUCCCUCCUUGGCUCGGCCGAGAAACUCAUAUUUUAUUCAUGAAAAUCUGAGGCCCUGGGAGGCCUCGGCCUAAACAGGAUGUAAAUAUUUGCGGGCGGUGGGGGAGAGGUGGUUUUUGAGCUGGGGCUGUCCUAAGCAGGGGACCUCCGGACGCCGCUUACUCGGGCCCGCCCACCUCCAUCCCCUCUAUAGGGUGGGUGUGGGGGGCAUGUGCAGGCUGUACCCCUGACUGGGGCCCGGGUUUGGGACUCCAGUGCCCUCCGAGGGAGUCCCCUAACCUUCUGAUCACCCCCCCCCCCGCCCCGCCCCAUUCUCUUAAUCCACAGGGUUCCUCCAUCCGCCUUGCUGAGACUUAGCACUGGCUUCCUGGCGCUUGCGAGGCGCGUGGCCAGCUCCCCAGCCUCACCUGCCCUUCCUGCACCUGGACACCCUUUGUCUCGGCUGCGCGGAGUUCCCGCCAUCCCCAGGCUGUACAGAAUCUUGCAGGGUAUCGAGGAUUUCCGAAGUUAUACCCUGCACCCCACAACCUCUGGCAAGAU